rnacentral:rRNA from 1 species
UACGUAGGGCGCAAGCGUUGUCCGGAAUUAUUGGGCGUAAAGAGCUCGUAGGUGGUCUGUUGCGUCCGCUGUGAAAACCUAAGGCUUAACCUUGGGCCUGCAGUGGAUACGGGCAGACUAGAGGUAGGUAGGGGAGAAUGGAAUUCCGGGUGUAGCGGUGAAAUGCGUAGAGAUCCGGAGGAACACCAGAGGUGAAGACGGGUUGCUGGGCCGACACUGACGCUGACAGCGCGAAAGCCAGGGGAGCAAACGGG